ensembl:lncRNA
UCAAGGAGCAAGCGUCUUUUAAUUUCAUGGCUGCAAUCACCAUCUGCAGUGAUUUUGGAGUCCCCCAAAAAUAAAGUCUCUCACAAAGUUUCCAUUGUUUCCCCAUCUAUUUGCUAUGAAGUGAUGGGACCAGAUGCCAUGAUCUUAGUUUUCUGAAUGUUGAGCUUUAAGCCAACUUUUCCACUCUCACUUUCAUCAAGAGGCUCUUUAGUUCUUUACUUUCUGCCAUAAGUGUGGGGUCAUUUGAAUAGCUUUCCCUCCAGUUUAAAGCUAAUCCUUCUCUGCUCUGAAUCUCUUCCUGUCCCCCUUUCUUGGGAGUGUUGAUGACCCCAUCAGUUAUCCCUAUGUCAGUCAUUCUCUUUCUGUGUCUUCUUUAAACUCUUCAUCUCUCCUGGACAUUUCCCUUCUGCUAAUAACUUUAUUUUGUUAGUGAAGCCCAUCCGUGGACUGUGUUUCUUUGUGUUUAACUCUCCAUCUAGUUCCUUCUCUGACAAGCUCUAGGAAGAAUAGUGUUGACUUUUCAGUCUUCACUUGCUCUACUCCCAUUCUCUCUUCUAAAUAACUCAAAUAUGUUGCCUCCUCUCCAUUCCCUUGUUGUUGCCUUGCUUAAGGCAUGAUAUCUUGCUGGAACUUUUUAUCCUUUAAACUUUUCUCCCUCAUGUCUGGCUCAAAAAUUCAAUCUUACAGCUUCCUGCCAUUCCUCUAACCAGACUGAAAUUUCUUAAAUAUAAAAUGCUAAAAACUAGUUAGUGGCUCCACGUUUAUUUGCCAGAAUGUUAACUAAUGCUCAGCAGAUUAUCUCAAUGCUAAUAUUAUAUAUAUAAAAAAAAGAAACGAUCUAAUAGGAGACAAAAUGAAAAAUACUGACCACACUUUACUCCUGCCCUUCUAUUUUUUUUUUUUUUUCCUUUUUAACCAAAUAUCUAUUUCCUAUUGUAGCACAGGAGGUCAUGAGGAUAAAGAAGAGAGGAAACAGGUUCGAAAAGGACCAGCACCAUAGGAGAAGCACAGUUCUGAGAUCUGCGGGUGUCUUGAGGAAGAUCACAGAGCAGAGAGGCUCAUCUCCGCGUGCUUGCCUUCUCUCCAGGACGGCUGCUUCUCACGUUCUCCCUGCUGUCAGCAUUCGCUAAUGUGUCAAGCUAUUGUUUCAUGCAUUUUAUAAUUAGUUUUGACAAGAUAAUUACUCUGAUAUUUAACUUUGCUGUAUUAACUGGAAGCAGAGUCUUCCCAGCUUUCUUUUAAGAAAUAUACAAGGAGAAUUCCUACUUUUUACUAUAGUAUAGUUCUGUUGUGUCAGCAAGUAAUACUUUUUAGAAAAUAAGAUACUUUCUUGGUGUUAUAAUUUGUGGGUUUUAUCUGUGAUUGGAAGACUUGGCUUUAAAUUGUAAGGAGAGUGCCCUAAAAUUAUGUGUCAGUGCUAGAACAUUUACACAGAGAUAUGAUGACUCAAAAUUUAUAAAAGCAGGCUGGGUUUCUUUGGGCUAUAUAUGAGACCUCAAGAUACGUGAUAUAUAAUAUGUUAAAGAAAACCUGUUGUACCAAUAUUUUGAUCCAUACUUAAUGUGUCAGUUAUCCUUAGCAUUUAAUUCACUGUAUUUUUGUUGUUUUAGACUGUAAAACAUAUUUCAAAAAUAAACAAUUUGAGUGGCCCA